AACCAUCUAGUGGAACUGGAAUGCUUUCAACUGCAGGACUAUCAGGGGGUCAUUCUGGAACUGGAAAGUCUAAACCUUUAGGGAUUGCCCCGCCACCAAGUGGGGCAGUAAAAAUUAGGUCUCCACUCCCACCCCCUCCAAAUGAUCCAGCUGCGGCACGAAUGACUGCUGUUAAUCAUGGUGUUGGUAUCAAAUCACCUAAAGAAAAUACAAAACGUUCUAUGGAUCCUUUAUCAGAUCUUUCUCCACUUGAGAGGAAUCUUCCUUCAGCAACAUCAGGUUCAGCAAAGACAACUGCAUCGGGAUGGGCGGCUUUCUAGUUGUGUGGGGUAUUUAUUGAGUGUGAAAUUGAAACCUCUGUUUGAUGUCUUCUUUGAAAAAAGUGAAAAUGAACAAUAUAAUUUGACAGAAGCAUGAAAGCACACCCAAAUACGUUCAUAUGCGGAAAAUAAUGUUUAAUAGAAUACAUGGAAUGCUUCUGCCUUCCUGCAUGAACUCUGAUGGUCUCAUUUCUACGUAUAAUGGAAAAUUGAAUUACAUUUCAUCUUCAUUCUGGUUGGUUGAUUUGUAACGUGUCAAAUUGAUAUGUAGCAUUUGUUUUGUGCAGCUGCAUAGCGUGCAUUCUGCUGUUGUGGAACAAAAUGUGGUUCUCA
rnacentral:misc_RNA from 1 species